CCCUCCUCCUUUGCUUCUCAUUUUUGACUCUCCACUCCUUCCUCCACUCCCCCACACUCCUCUCCUACCUCUCCCCCACGAAAUCCUGCUCCACCUAGCUACCUUGGCCGGCCAUGGCCAUGGAAAGCCACCAAGAUGCAGCUCCCCUCCUCCCUCAAGCUUCCCCUCACCAUGAGAGCAUCUCUCUCACUCUCUUCUCCCUUAAUCUUUGAUGAAUCCAGCUCUCUUUCUCCUUUCCCCUCUCACAAGAUUGGAUCUUGAUUCAGGUGCAUGUUGAUCCAAGCAUGGAGAAGGUUGAGCAAUCCUCAGAUCUGAAACUCUUGAGCAAAAUCCAAAUCGAGUGAUUCAAAGUUCUGCAGAUAGUUAUUGAAAAGAUCUACAACUUGGCAUUGGUCUCAUCCUCAAAUUCGUUACGGAUUUUGCAUGAUCAAGAUCUGGUCAGAUCUGACUUUGUCGAAUUAAACCAGGAGCUUGGAAACGAAUUUUUGAAUGAAACCAACUGGGGGAUAAUUGGUUUAUACCAUGGUGAUAACCGAGAGAGGCAAUUGCUAAGUUGUGAUGCACUCAUGCCUCUACUAGAUGCGAACAAUUCCGAAGAAGAAGAAGAAGAGGAAUCGGAUGAGAAGAUUAUUUAUAUUGUUGGAAUUCUUAUAUUUAUGGAGUUGAAGAAGUCCGGGGACAAAUAAGCCAAGGCAAGCCAUCUUUUGAUCUCUUGCUAUUUAUCCUUCUUGUUGUGCUCAUUGCUCCAUUAUAUACUUGGUUCCUGGUAUCAUGUGUGAUUUUUGAUCCUCUACUCUAUGCAUACUUAUUCCCAAAGUAUGUUGAACCCCUGGUUGAUGCUUUGCAUACUUGCUCCCAAGUAUGUGAACCCCCUUGUUGAUGUUAUGCAUGCUUACCCUAAGCAUGUAUGCUGAUGCGGGGUGGCUUUCGGACACCUCCGCCUCAAGACCGUCAAGUGCAACCCCGCCUAUCGUCGACGCUACACCAUGGCCAAAGAGUCCCCCAAGUGGACCUUCAACCCUAACCCACGCUACACGCGUCAAGGUGAACUCCUUCCUCUCGAUACUCGACCUCGUAGAUACCUUGAAUGGAAUGCUACCUCAUGUCGGCAUGUUAUAUGUCAUUAGGUACAAGAGUCAUCGAGGACCGGAGAGGAGGAACACCCAUGGUGCAAGGAAGCGAGGGAAGGGAAGAGGAGCCAUUCAUCAUGGUGCAAGGAAGAAGGAAGAAGAAGAAGAAGGAAGGAAGAAUGAAGGAAGAAGGAAGGAAGAGGAAGAAGAAGCGGGAGGAGGGAGGCCGGCCGGUCACAGGCCCGGUUGACCGGCCCCCUGACCGGCCCACCCGGUCACAGGCCCGGUUGACCGGCCCCCUGACUGGCCCGGCCGGUUUUCGACCGGAACGACGACCGGUGCCAUCCGGACGCAAUCCCGGGGCUCCCGAAGCCUCGCCCGGUCACCGCCCGGUCCAGAAUCCGGUUGUGAACCGGAUGGACCGGUCCCAGGCCCGGUCAGACCGGCCCUGUGACCGGAUUCGUCGGGUUUGACCCACCAACUUGUACCUUUUCGACCCAUGCUGCCUUGUAUGCCUAUAUAAGCCCCCAGGUCGCCACCUUACCUCUUUAGACAAGAUGAUAGCUUAAACAUGAAGAUGAGCUUUGUCUCCCUAGGGUUUCAUCCCCUUUGUAUCAAGGCUACCUAUGUUGGAUGAUUGGAUUGGGUGU